AAUCUAUCAGAAUAGGAAAAACAGCAAUGUGAGUUGAAGUGUAAAUUAUUUAUUUCAUUUUAUGCAGGUUAAAUGUCGCAUCUGUUCUGCAGAGCUUUCUUACACAAACAAAAGCACCUCCUCAGUGUUUAGGCAUUACAGAGCCAAACAUGAAAAUGAGGAGACAAACACACCGAGAAUGAACACAGCAUCUAGGAAGACUGUUCUGGACCAGGCAGUCCUGAAUUUUAUUAUAAGGGACUGUCAACCCCUUAGUAUUGUGGAGAGUGUCGGAGAGAAACAUUCCAAGAUCAGAGGAUCCUUUAACGUACUGGGGGAAUAGGAAGACAUCUUAUCUGAACCUUUUCCACCUGGCUUUACAGUUUUUGUGUACCCCAGCUUCAUCUGUGCCUGUGAGUUUUCCAAAGCUGGGGAAAUGGUGUCAAAAAAAUGCAAUAGACUGAAUGCAAAAACAUUGGAUAAACUUAUUUUUCUGAAUAGAAUUUUAUAAUAAACUCUGAGUCAAAUGGGUAAUAUUACAUUCACAAUACUUUCAUUUUAAUUUUCACUUAGUGUCAUUCACAAUAUAUUUUAUAAUGUCUACAAUAUUUGAAAUGUAAAAGAUAUAAAAUGAUUCCAUGGAAAGUACAAUACCUUAGUGUACAAGUAUGACUAGGUCAUUGAAUCAGUGUCUGUUGUGAGUCUCAAGUAAGUUGCCUGCAAUGAUAUUUAAGGUCCAGCAGGUGUCAGUAUGGAGCAAAACAGCAACACUGUGUCGACACAGUAUCAAUACAGUUUGGGGAAUGUGCUGAAAUGCUUCACGAGGCCUCAUCUACCCAUCACUAGUCAAAACUAAACAAAACCUAAACUGGGAGCACCUACAGAAAUAAUACAUAGGAACAUAAAAACCUGAGACAGGGAACAUAGAACACAAUGAACAUGGGAAAUGUCAUGGGUGAUGCAAAGACAAACCAACAACAAACAGGGGAAGACACAGGGCUUAAACACACUGAGGGAUAACGAGGGAAUGAGACACAGGAGGAGAGCACAGCUGGGAGUAAUCAAAUAUGAUGAGACCAAGGGGAAGUAAACUGGAAACAUUAACAAAGAACACGGGACUAUCAAAGUAAAACAGGAAACAUAAGACAGGCACAGAGACAUGGACGUUACCCUGAACCCUGUUAUAACCUCUAACAGUGGGCAGACAUUAUAUUAAACCCUAUGGAUUAAGAAUGGAGUGUUACUCAAGUUCAUAUGUGUUUGAAUUCAAAUGGACGAAUAAUUUUAGUAAUAUAAUGAAGCUUCUCUGUGAUUAUUGAAGUGUUAAGAUGAUACUUAGUGCAGUCUUUUCACCAGCAGAUGGGGAUAAAUCAUCAUCAAUCAAUCCUCAAACUCCUAAAAGGAGACUAUUCUUAUUUUUCUUAUAAUGUAAAUAGUGUCUCCACAUUAUCUGCAGGAUAACAACACAAGGUUUGCCUGUGCCUUAUGAAAUUCAAACCAGUUUAAAAACCACACAGAAGCUUCAGUGUUGAUCAGUAGCAGUCUUAUCCGUCAGCUGCUGGAGCUGACGGGAGUUAUGUUAAAAACCACGUGGUACUUGUAUGAUUAUCCUUGUUUGGCCUCAGCUGCAUUGGAGCUCUACUUCUCUCCUGGUUCACCAGAGAAACCUUCACUGCACACAAUGCUUUUCCUCCCAGCUGCUGCUCUGUGCUGUCUGUGUUCAGGUGAGUGAUUUUAUUCAAACAAGAGCACAACAUCAGUACCAAUCUGCCAUACUAACCUGUCUGUGUCUCCACAGUGAUGGUUACUGUGGCUGAAGAGUUGAUACAGAGUGAUUUAACUCUGACCAGGAGAGCUGGUGAAAGUGUCUCCUUCAGCUGUGGUGGAACUGACCAGUGCAACACUGCAGUUGUAGACUGGUACCAGAAGAAAGACACAAGAGAAUUAUUCAGAAUGCUUCUUUCUAUCAGCACGAAAAAUGGUGCAAUUACUAAAGGCUACAACCACCCCGAGGAAGAAGAUUUCUCAGCUGUAAAGAAACAGGAUGGCUGGGAGUUGGAGAUAAAGAAAGUUAAAGACGUUCAUUCAGCCACCUACUACUGCUGUUGCUCUAAAAGUUCUCAUAGUGACAAAUGAUCCCUGCAGGCUGAACAAAAACCAUCAGAGCAAAAGCAAGAAACCACAACCCACAUUCACAUAUGUCACCUCCAUCUCAGUCUGAGACACAAGAACAGAGUUACGGAAAUUUCAGCAUUUAAAUUGCACAAAUCGAAGUCUUUAUAUCAGCAAACAGUGAAAUGACUAUUUGUAAUGAAGGCUGAGAGCUCAGUGGGAAGUUUUCUGGUCUAGUAUGUUUGCACUAAAUAAAAGUGGUUUUCACUCAAAUUGCUUAUUAUCUUAACAGAAAGAAGAAAAAGAAACAAAGUGUUGAUGGUUUUAAUGAUAAGAUUUCAAAGUUACACAUUUCAGAACUCCUGAAAUCACCUCAAAUGAAAUCAGUCACCUUUAAUUCACAGGACUAACUGGGAUAUGUUUGAACAUCAGGACCUGAAAAUGUUCACAGACAGUGUUCUCUGGUACAUAAAACACUGCAUAGACACUGUACAGUAGACAAAUGUAUCCGGGGUUAUCCCAACCAAAAGCCCUGGAUGACCUGGGAGGUCAAGCAGCUGCUGAAGGAGAGGAACAUGGCGUUCAGGUCUGGCAACAGGGGGACUAUAGGAGGAGGAUUGAGGACCAUCUGGAGAGUAACAACAGCCGGCAGGUGUGGCAGGGCAUCCAGCAUCUAACAAACUAUAAAAUCAACCUCAGAGCUGCGGAAGGUGACCUGGCGCUAGCGGAGGAGCUGAAUAUCUUCUUCGCCCGCUUUGACGCCAUGGUACCGGAGGUAUUGGAGCCACAGCAGCAACACGCGGCCCACAGCAGCACCACCCUCACCCUGGAAGAACACAAGGUGAGGCACACUCUGUGGGCCAUUAACCCGAGAAAGGUGGAGGGUCCUGAUGGUGUGUCAGGUCGAAUAUUGAGAGAUUGUGCAGAACAGCUGGCUGGGAUCUUCACCACCAUCUUCAACAAAUCCCUCGCACAGGUGACUGUCCCACUCUGCCUGAAGUCCUCCACCAUAAGAAGCCCCACAUCACCAGCCUGAAUGACUGCAGACCAGUGGCACUCACCCCAGUGGUAAUGAAAUGAUUUGAGAAGCUGGUCCUCAGACACAUCACAGCAGCCCUGCAGCCUGGAUCCACACCAGUUUGCCUACAGAGCAAACCGGUCCACGGAAGACGCUGUUGCCACAGUACUCCAUGCUGCCGUAACAUGGAGGAGCAUGGUGUGGAUGCUUUUCGUGGAUUACUGCUCAGCUUUUAACACCAUCCUUCCACACAAACUGGUGGUCAAGCUACAAGACCUGGGGGUUCCAUACAGCACCUGAAUGUGGAUCAACAGUUUCCUCUCAGACCGUAGACAGAGAGUCAGAGUUGGCCAUCACACAUCCUCGGCCCUGAGUCUCAGCACUGGCUCACCCCAGGGCUGUGUGCUCAGUCCACUACUCUACUCUCUCUACACACACGACUGCACUCCUCUCCACCAGAGCAACAUCUUUGUGAAGUUUGCAGACGACACCACCGUGGUGGGGCUCAUUUCCAGGGGUGACAAGUCUGCUUACAGAGACGAGGUGGAGCAGCUGUCGUCAUGGUGUAAGGCCAAUAACCUCCUCCUCAAUAGUUCAAAGACCAAAGAACUCAUAAUAGACUUCAGAAGGAAAAAGGCAGAGAUCCCACCAUUAUUCAUCAAUGGGGACUGUGUAGAAAGGGCGGCAAACUUUCGCUUCCUGGGAGUCAACAUGGAGGAGAACCUUUCUUGGAGUGCGAACACCUCUGAGCUCCUGAAAAAGGCCCAACAGAGACUGCACUUCCUGAGAAUUCUCAGGAGGAAUAACAUCACACAGAAACUGCUGGUGUCCUUCUACAGAGCCACCAUUGAGAGUGUACUAAAUAUUGCAUAUGCAUCUGGUACAUGUUAAGGUUCAAAAAUAUAGGGAAGGAAACACAGGAGGAAUGCAAGUAACCACACUGGUCCAAAGGGUAAAGACGAUGAUUUUAAUGAAAUGACACGCGUGGGAGAAUGAGCGGACUCUGUAAGCAGACAGCCCCACAAUCUCAUCCUCCUAACAUCAAAAUACAGUUUUAUAUGCAUCAGAGUAUAUUUAGUGACGCCCCCUCAUUGCGUCAUCACAUACAUCAGCUUCAAAACCACAAAUGUUCUAUUUGACAACUUAAGGCACAAUUAAAAGUACACUGGCUUCCAUCUUCUCCCCGGUGGUUUCCCGUAAGCCAGCUCAGCUCUCGC
ensembl:lncRNA